rnacentral:rRNA from 1 species
UACGUAGGCAGCAAGCGUUGUUCGGAGUUACUGGGCGUAAAGGGUGCGUAGGCGGCCUUAUAAGUAUGGUGUGAAAUCUCCCGGCUUAACUGGGAGGGUGCGCUAUAGACUGUGGGGCUAGAGUGUGGGAGAGGAAAGUGGAAUUCCUGGUGUAGCGGUGAAAUGCGUAGAUAUCAGGAGGAACACCGGUGGUGUAGACGGCUUUCUGGACCGUAACUGACGCUGAGACACGAAAGCGUGGGUAGCAAACAGG